GGAGUGGCCGGGGCUGGUGCCCCAGCCGGUCUUCAAAACCGGUGAGCCGUCGUAGCCCGGCGGUGGGUAGGUUCGAUUCCUGCGCCGCUCCGC
rnacentral:tRNA from 1 species